CGCGCGCAGGCUUAUUCCAACAUCGACCCGAACGUGCCAUUUCACUCACUCAUUCGAAAAGGAGCAUCAUGGUCCCGCCACUUCCAGUCUUCCUCCGCUUCUAAGGUGCAAAACACGCGAGGUGCUCAAUGGAGUUAAAGGAGCAAGCCAUCCUCGAGAGGUGCGAGGUGUAAACCCGGGUGUUUCUUUUCAAAGUUUCAAAGGCAUCAUUUCUCCCAUGUACUGCCACUGCCAGUUAAAAAAAAAAAAACUUUUUAAUAAAAAAUAAAAAUCCCAACCACCGUCUUCUCCAUUACAGCUUCUCUCAGAAGCCCCUGCAAUUCCCCCUUUCUCUGUUUAUGUAUUUAUUCGUACAUACAUGUAUAUGUAUAUAUGGCUUGGUUACUGUACGGCCGGCAGUAUCCUGUUCUUUUGGAAUUUGAUAUAUAGAGGCUGAGACUAUUU
rnacentral:misc_RNA from 1 species